CCAGAAUAUUUUCCUUCUUGGACAUAGUAACUUUGUGCCGAUGUGCACAGAUUUCCAAGGUAGAGUGUUCACUAGAUUUUUAAUCAAUAAAUAUCAGGUUUUAUUAGUCUAAAGAUGAAUUUUAGUUCAAAUAAACCAUUAAAUUAAAAUUUAUCUCAUAUUUAAUAUAAUCAUAAUUUAAUAUUUGUUUUAUUAACUUGAUACAUUGAAAAUUAAAGUUUGGAAAUAGAAAGUUUGCGUCAAGACCCUCUUUAAUUUAUUUCUCAGUAAAUGAAUCUUUCACCCCCAUCCCUCUUCUUUUACUACCUACCUCCCAGGCUUGGAACAUCUUAGCCCUGGAUGGAAGCAACUGGCAAAGAAUAGAUCUUUUUAACUUUCAAACAGAUGUAGAGGUAAGUUAGUUAACUUUGGUUUAGACAGAAGACUUUUUAAAAGAUAAACAAACAGUUUCCUCUUUUCUGUUUUUUUAUUUUGCAGCAUUUAGAAGAGAGAGACAGAAAAACAAAACUUGGAAGAUAUGUGCAUACAUGAAGACCAAAAUUCCACUGUGUUUUACUUUUGUUCUUUAUCAGUAACAGAUUGCUUUUCCCCCUGAAUCAUGUUUAUAAUCUAUUACUCUCAGCUUUUUAAAGCAUCACACCUGCAUCCUUAACACCUGGUUUAGUGCUUUAACCUUAGGAAGCUUCAUCUGAAAGAUUUACUGGGAAUAGUAAUUCAGCAUUAAGAAUGGAGAAAGGGCAGGAACAAAAGCCAGAGAGUGAGGCUGACUUCUGAAGUGUCCCAUCAGCUCUGGCACUUAGCCAUACAAUCUCAGUGCCUCUGUUUUAUUAUCUGUAAGAUAAAUAAGUAAAGUAAUUUUAAAGCCUUUUGUAAUGCCAGGGUGGGGUAUGGCUCAGUGGUAGAGUACUUGCCUAACACUAGGCCCUAGGUGUAGGCCCCAGCACUGGCUGGGGGCUGGGGGAAUGUGUGUGUGUAUAGUAUACAUAUAUACAUACACUGAAUAUAUUAAGUGUGUGUGUAAUAUACAUAUAUAAAUAUAAGUAAAAUUCCAGAUUCUACAUAUUUAUGUGGAAAUCCAAAAAAAAAAAAAAAAUCUCUAUUUAAGGGUAGUAAACCUGAUUACAUGAGGAAAUCAUUUUAAAGUAAUUUAAUUUAAAAUAUCAAAUUUCUAACCAAAUAGUAAGGGAGUGGAGUAAUAAAGAGCAUUGUACAAAGUAAUUGUCUUGGGUGCUGGUCUGAGAGUCUUAGGAUACUUAAGUUUAUUGUCUACUUAAUGUUAGUAAAACCUUACUUAUUUCCAUUUUAAACAAUUCAGUAACAAGAGUGGAAUUGCAUCUUAAAUCACUUCACUCAUGUUAAAGGUUCUCAGAGUGUCUUACCAAGGUGUUUGUGCUUUGAUGGGUAAGAAAAUGAUUAUGUUUAACAAUGAAGCAAUUUCCUGCUAGUUACUUAACUUGUUGGAAGAGCUUAUGGCCAAUUAUAGGCCCUUUUACUCCUCCCCCAUACCUUUUCUUCCCCUCCCCGACUCCCAGAACUGGGGAAUGAGCCAAGGGUGCUCUGUCACUGAGCUGCAUCUCCUGUCCUUUAUUUCAGACAGAGUCUCAGUUAAGUUUUUCAGUCUGGCCUUCAAUCUAUGAUUCUCCUACCUUACCUCCUGAGUCACUGGGAUUACAGGCUUGUGCCACUGUGGCUGGCUCCUUUCUCCUCUAGGUUACUUGCUGUUUGACAGUCUUUGGCUCCCAUUUUAAACCAGUGGAGCAGUAACCUCAGCACAUGGGGCAGAACACAGGGUUUUUCACAGUUGGUUUUAGAACCCCAUGGUUCCUCACAUAUUAUCAUGCUCUGAGCUUGGAAAGGGGCAGGAACCUCAGGGAUUCAUGUCCAUCUGGAAAAAAGUUCUAGUUACUAGUUUAGAAUGUGGUCCUUAAAUUAAGUGUUCAUUAAUGUUCUUUCCAGACGUAAUAGAAAUUAUCACAAGUGCCCAACCCAAAUUUGCCAGUAUUCCAUACCAGCCAGUGUAAUUCCUCUUCAAAUUGAUAAUCUCUAAAUCUUUGUUCAUUGUGUUUACUUAGUGGUGUUGAAAAGAAUGUAAAUUCUCAAAAUGUCAUUUUUUGCUGGUCAUGAGAGUCAUUGUUGGGCUGGGAUUGUGGCUCAGUGGUGAGGUGCUUGCCUAGCAUGUGUGAGGCUUAGGGUUUGAUUCUCAGCACCGCAUAUACAUAAAUAAAUAUCCAUUGACAACUAAAAAAAAUAUUUUAAAAAAAGAAUUUUUUUGAAAGAAUUUGGCAAAGUAUUUUUCUGUAGUGCUUAGUAUCUCCUCAGUUUAGAUGAUUUUUCCCAAACUAUACAACUUUUUGGAAAGCACACUAAGAACUUUUAAAUUUAGAUAUUAUGAAAUACAGUUUCAAUUAAAUAUUACUACCUUGAUUGAAGAAUUUUAGCUGACUUCUGAUUUUCAUCAUGGAAAUACUUAAGAAUGUGUGCAGUAAAGGGGAGACAGGUUUAUGGUUUGCUAGUUGCGUUAACAAUUACAUGUGAAAAUCUGAAAUAGCUGGCAUCAGGGUUUCAGUCUAGUUUCAUAUCAUUAGUUUCCCUUUGGGGCUGGCACCUUAAAUCCAAGUUGAAUUAUGAACCAAGACUAUGAUCUUCUCAUAGUCUUUAAACAUCUGUAUACUCAGCCUAGGAAGCAUUCUAUGAAUAAAGAGAUGGUCUCAAAGAUGUGUCCUUAUGGGUAAGUUGAGGAAGAAGGAAAAUGCCAAGGAUCAGCAUGAACUCAUUAAUACUCCUUACUGUGAGCUAGGCACUGUUCUAAGAACUUUACAUAUCCUACUAUAUUUGAUCCUCUUAAAAACACCAUAUUGAAGAAACUGAGGCAUAGAAAAGUAGAGUAACUUACUAAGGUCACUCACCUAUUAAAGAAUGUAGGAAUUGUCAAACAAAGACUGUGUCCCAAAAAGGACCACAUGUAAGAGUGGAAGGUAAAUCCAUCCCAAACAAAUGUAUAAACUCAACAUAGGAAUAUAAGAAAUAUGAAAAAAAGGUAACAUGACACUUCCUAAAUAUCAUAAUUCAUCAAUAGCUGACUCCAAAGACUUUGGAUGAAGAAUAAAAAAAAAAAAAAAGCAUUGUAGAAAUGGUCUGUGAAUUCCAAGAGAACACAGAAAAACAACUGAAUAAAUUCAAGAAGUCAGUACAGGAUAUGAAAUAAGAAAUUCAAUAAGGAGAUAGAAAUAUUGACAAAGAACUAAACAGAAAUCUCAGAAAUGAAAGACACAAUACAUCAAAUAAAAUGUUCAGUUUAAAGUCUCUGUUACAGAGUACACUAAGGUAAAGGCAGAAUCUCAGAGCUAUAAUGAAGUGGCCAGCCUUGAACAUUCAGGCAAUAAUAAAAGAAAAUAAGUAACCAUGACCAGAAUAUAAAGGAACUCUGGGACAACAUUAAGAAGCCAAAUUUUAGCCAGGCAUGGAGGCACAUACCUGUAAUUCCAGUGGUUCUGGAGGUUGAGGCAGGAGGAUUGGGGGUUCAAAGCCAGUCAGCAAUUUAGCAAGACCCUAAGUAACUUAUCAAGACCCUGUCUCUAAAUAAAAUAUAAAAAGGACUGGGGGUGUGGCUCAGUAGUUAAGUGACCCUGGGUUCAAUCCCCAGUACCAAAAACAAAAACUAAAAACAAAUUUUAAGAAUUAUAAGAAUGGAAGAGAGAAUUGUGAGCUGCAGGUUAAUGGCAUGGAUAACCUCUUCAGGACAAUAAGAACAUUUUUAAAUCUUCAAGAGAAAAACAUGGGCUGGGGUUGUGGCUCAGUGGCAGAGCGCUUGCCUUGCACAUGUGAGGCACUGCUUUUGAUCCUCAGCACCACAUAAAAAUGAAUAAACAAGAUACUGCAUCCAUCUAUAACUAAAAAAUAUUUUUUAAAAAAGAAAAACAUCAGUUUGCAUUUAGAGGCAAGCCAAUCAGAAUUAGUUUUGAUUUCUCAACACAAACUCUAAGAAUCAAGGAGAACAUGGAAUGAUGUAUUCUAGGCCCUGAAAGAUAAGUAUACCCAGCAAAGCUAUCAUUCAGAUCAAAGUCAAAAUAAAAACCUUCCCAGAUUAAGCAGAAACUAAAAUAGUUCAUGACUACUAAGCCAAUUACAGAAAACACUUAAAUAUUACACACAGAAGAAAUUAAAAAAUCAAACCAAGAGUUCACAAAUUGACAAAUCUCACGUGAAAAAAAAAUAAGCAAAUGAGAUACAAGACCAAAUUAAACAUUAUAAAUAAAUCAAAAUGGCAAAGCAUAAUAAACAUCUCCCUAUAACAACAAUGAAUGUAAAUGGUCUCAACUCUCCAAUUAAAAGAUAUGGGCUGGCAGAAUGGAUUAGAAAGCAAGGUUUAACUAUAUGUUGUUUGUAGGAGACUCAUCUCACAGGCAAAGACAGCCAUAGGCUAAAGGUGAAUUGAUAUACAAUGCAAAUAGAGCCUGAGAACAAGCAGGAGCAGCUACUCUCAUAUCCAACAAAGAAAACUUCAAGCCACAAUUAAUCAGAAAAGAUAAAGAUGGUCACUUAGUAUGGUAAAGGAAACAAUCCAAUAAGAAGAUAAAAUAAUAAUAAAUAUUUAUUCCCUAAUAUUUGGUGUACCUAAGUGUAUAAACAGAUACUACUCAAACACUCACAUAGACUCCAGUCCAAUGAUACUGGGUGAUUUCAACACACCUCUCUCACCAAUAGGUCAUCCAGACAUAAACUCAGUCAAGACUCUUCACAGAACUAAAAAAUAUUAUAAAUCAAAUGGAAUUAACAGACAUCUAUAGAAUAUUUCACCCAACAAUAGCUGAAUUCACUUUCUUCUCAGGUAUUCAUGGAAACUUCUUUAAACUAGACCACAUUUUUAAGCCACAAAGCAACUUAGCAACUACAAAAAAAAAAAAAAAAAUGACAUAAUUCCUUGUAUCUUAUCAUAAUGGAACAAAAUUAGAAAUCAAUGCCCAAAAAAAACCUGCAGAAACUAUGAACAUAUGAAGAUUGACUAAUACACUUUUGAAUGAUGAAUGGGUUAUAGAAGAAGUCGGGAGAAAUUUUAAAAAUUCUUAGAAUCAAAGGAGACUAGUGAUACAAUAUACUGUAACUUCUGAGACACUACGAAUGCAUUUCUAAGAGGAAAG
rnacentral:lncRNA from 1 species